UACGGGGGGGUAAGCGUUGUUCGGAAUUACUGGGCGUAAAGGGCUCGUAGGCGGCCAACUAAGUCAGACGUGAAAUCCCUCAGCUUAACUGGGGAACUGCGUCUGAUACUGGAUGGCUUGGAUUCGGGAGAGGAAUGCGGAAUUCCGAAGGUGUAGCGGUGAAAUGACGUGAGAUAUCUGGAGGAACACCGGUGGCGAAGGCGGCAUUCUGGACCGAUAUUGACGCUGAGGAGCGAAAGCCAGGGGAGCAAACGGG
rnacentral:rRNA from 1 species